CAGUUAUCGUUUAUUUGAUAGUACCUUACUACUUGGAUACCUGUGGUAAUUCUAGAGCUAAUACAUGCUGAAAACCUCAACUUCGGAAGGGGUGUAUUUAUUAGAUAAAAAGCCAAUGCCCUUCGGGGCUCUCCGGUGAUUCAUAAUAACUUCACGAAUCGCAUGGCCUUGAGCCGGCGAUGGUUCAUUCAAAUUUCUGCCCUAUCAACUUUCGAUGGUUAUGUAGUGGAUAACCAUGGUCUCUACGGGUAACGGGGAAUUAGGGUUCGGUUCCGGAGAGGGAGCCUGAGAAACGGCUACCACAUCCAAGGAAGGCAGCAGGCGCGCAAAUUACCCAAUCCCGACACGGGGAGGUAGUGACAAUAAAUACUGAUGACGAGCUCUUUUGGGUUUGUCAAUUGGAAUGAGUACAAUCUAAAUCCCUUAACGAGGAACAAUUGGAGGGCAAGUCUGGUGCCAGCAGCCGCGGUAAUUCCAGCUCCAAUAGCGUAUAUUAAAGUUGUUGCAGUUAAAAAGCUCGUAGUUGAAACUUGGGUCUGGCUGACCGGUCCGCCUCACCGCGUGCACUGGCUCGGCCGGGCCUUUCCUUCUGGGGAGCCCCAUGCCCUUCGGUGGGUGUGGCGGGGAACCAGGACUUUUACUUUGAAAAAAUUAGAGUGUUCAAAGCAGGCCUAUGCUCGAAUACAUUAGCAUGGAAUAAUAGAAUAGGACGUGUGGUUCUAUUUUGUUGGUUUCUAGGACCGCCGUAAUGAUUAAUAGGGAUAGUCGGGGGCAUCAGUAUUCCAUUGUCAGAGGUGAAAUUCUUGGAUUUAUGGAAGACUAACUACUGCGAAAGCAUUUGCCAAGGAUGUUUUCAUUAAUCAGUGAACGAAAGUUAGGGGAUCGAAGACGAUCAGAUACCGUCGUAGUCUUAACCAUAAACUAUGCCGACUAGGGAUCGGACGGUGUUAUUAUUUUGACCCGUUCGGCACCUUACGAGAAAUCAAAGUUUUUGGGUUCUGGGGGGAGUAUGGUCGCAAGGCUGAAACUUAAAGACAUUGACGGAAGGGCACCACCAGGCGUGGAGCCUGCGGCUUAAUUUGACUCAACACGGGGAAACUCACCAGGUCCGGACAAAAAUAGGAUUGACAGAUUGAGAGCUCUUUCUUGAUCUUUUGGGUGGUGGUGCAUGGCCGUUCUUAGUUGGUGGGUUAUUCUGAAGCCUGGUUUGGGAUCGAUCUCGCUAACUGUUUGAAUUUUUCUAGGUGGAGUGAUUUGUCUGCUUAAUUGCGAUAACGAACGAGACCUUAACCUGCUAAAUAGCCCGGUCAGCCUUGGCUGGCCGCCGGCUUCUUAGAGGGACUAUCGGCUCAAGCCGAUGGAAGUUUGAGGCAAUAACAGGUCUGUGAUGCCCUUAGCAUUAGGGGUAAUGUCUACUAGUCUGGGUGUACUGGGUCACCUUUACACACUCCCAGGCAACAUCUCUACUCUUGACGGCAAGUUUUUCUGUAAACAAGCCGCAGUCUUUCCAUGACAAUUAGAGUGAGGGCGGGCUUUUCUGGAAAUAAGAUGAUCAAAGCAUAACAUUUUAUUUUGAUGCCUGCUGGCUCUUUUUUCACAUGGGGAGAUUCAGAGACUAAACAGAGGUGGGGAUCCUAGCCUUUUAGGGUCUUUUUAAUAUAGUCCGACUUGUAUAGGAUAACCUCCUGUACCGUUUGUGUAGAUGUCCUGGGCUGCACGGUAAGUUCUAAGGAAUUCCCAAUUAUUCUGGUUCGUGUGAAUCACGGCUAACGGUUCAAUUAGCGCGCUACACUGACAGAGACAACGAGUUCAUCUCCUUGGCCGGAAGGUCUGGGUAAUCUUGUUAAACUCUGUCGUGCUGGGGAUAGAGCAUUGCAAUUAUUGCUCUUCAACGAGGAAUGCCUAGUAAGCGCAAGUCAUCAGCUUGCGUUGAUUACGUCCCUGCCCUUUGUACACACCGCCCGUCGCUACUACCGAUUGAAUGGCUCAGUGAGGCCUUCGGACUGGCCCAGAGAGGGCGGAAACGCCCACUCAGGGCCGGAAA
rnacentral:rRNA from 1 species